AACCCAUGUUGAGGACAUUUCACCGGAGCUCCCUUGAACCUCAUCCCAUGUCUCAAAUAGAGACUCCAAUUCGCUUGCACAAAAGAUGAUAUUUCAUUCCUAAGCUU